GAUGAAGAACGCAGCGAAAUGCGAUACGUAAUGUGAAUUGCAGAUCUCUCAGUGAACCAUCGAAUUUUUGAACGCACAUUGCGCCCCCUGGUAUUCCGGGGGGCAUGCCUGUCCGAGCGUCAUUGCUGCCCUCAAGCACGGCUUGUGUGUUGGGCCCCGCCCCCCGGCUCCCGGGGGGCGGGCCCGAAAGGCAGCGGCGGCACCGCGUCCGGUCCUCGAGCGUAUGGGGCUUCGUCACCCGCUCCGUAGGCCCGGCCGGCGCCCGCCGGCGACCCCCCUCAAUCUUUUCAGGUUGACCUCGGAUCAGGUAGGGAUACCCGCUGAACUUAAGCAUAUCAAUAAGCGGAGGA
rnacentral:misc_RNA from 1 species